rnacentral:rRNA from 1 species
CGCGUAGGCGGUUUGUUAAGUCAGCUGUGAAAGCCCCGGGCUCAACCUGGGAAUUGCAGUUGAUACUGACCGACUAGAGUACGAGAGAGGGAGGUAGAAUUCCACGUGUAGUGGUGAAAUGCGUAGAUAUGUGGAGGAAUACCGGUGGCGAAGGCGGCCUCCUGGCUCGAUACUGACGCUGAGGUGCGAAAGCGUGGGGAGCAAACA